rnacentral:rRNA from 1 species
UACGUAGGGUGCGAGCGUUAAUCGGAAUACUGGGCGUAAAGCGUGCGCAGGCGGUUCGUUAAGUCAGCUGUGAAAGCCCCGGGCUCAACCUGGGAAUGGCGAUGGAUACUGGCGAGCUAGAGUACGGUAGAGGAGAGUGGAAUUCCCGGUGUAGCAGUGAAAUGCGUAGAGAUCGGGAGGAACAUCAGUUGCGAAGGCGGCUCUCUGGACCAGUACUGACGCUGAGGCACGAAGGCCAGGGGAGCAAACGGG